GGGUCAGUAGGUUGGUCGUGCCACCGGUACGUACUGGUCUCACUGAUUCCUCCUUCCUGAAGAACCGUAAUGCCAAUAAUUAGGUGUUGCGGGGAAACAGGACUGUUACUUUGAAAAAAUUAGAGUGUUUAAAGCAAGCUAACGCUUGAAUACAUUAGCAUGGAAUAAUGAAAUAGGACGAUCGAUCCUAUUUUGUUGGUUUCUAGGAUUGACGUA
rnacentral:rRNA from 1 species